UACAGAGGUCUCAAGCGUUGUUCGGAAUUACUGGGCGUAAAGGGUGCGCAGGCCGCGCGGGCAGUCAAAUGUGUAAUCCAGGGGCUCAACCCCUGAACUGCGCUUGAUACUUCCGCGCUCGAGCUUUGGAGAGGAGUCUGGAAUUCUCGGUGUAGCAGUGAAAUGCGUGGAUAUCGAGAAGAACACUUAGGGCGUAGGCAAGACUCUGGGACAAAUGCUGACGCUCAUGCACGAAGGCUAGGGUAGCGAACGGG
rnacentral:rRNA from 1 species